rnacentral:misc_RNA from 1 species
CUGGGUAUUUCAGAAAACUAAAGAAGAGGGGGUGGGGUGUGGGUUGGGGGUGUUUGGUUACUAAUUUGAACCUGUUGUUGAAAUAUCUAAGAUUCCAUGCUCAAUGACUGAGUUAAGGCUUAAUUUGUGCUUGAAUAAUUUCUGAGGCUGUAAGCUCCAUCAACCACAACAUUCAAACCACUCACAAACUUAGAUUCCUCACUUCCAAGAUACAGAGCAGCCUCUGCUACAUCAUUAGCAUCUACAGGUACUCCUUUAAGAAUUGCAUCAGCCAUGCAUGUUUCUUGCAGAGUCUUCAUAUCCACACCUCCCAUUGCCUUGGAAGCUAAAGGGGUGGGAAUUCCUCCUGGCGAUAUGCAAUUAACUCUAAUUCCAUGCUUCCCCAAUUCCACUGCCAAGUUCUUAGUUAACCCAACAACUGCAUGCUUUGCUGCUGUGUAGGCAUGUGGAAUCCCACAAUAGCACACUGAAGCGAUACUUGCAGUGAACAAAAUACACCCUUUUUUUUGCGGGAUCAUUACUCUUGCUGCAUGUUUGGCUCCCAAGAAUCCACCAUACACAUUUAUGUCAAAAACUUUCUUGAAAUCUUCACGAUCUAUUGAUAAUAUGCUGGGAUCAUAUUUCCCUGUGAUUCCUGCAUUGUUGAACAUUAUGUCAAGCUUUCCGUGCAUUGAAACGGCUGUUUUCACUGCGUUUUCCACAUCUGAGUCUUUGGCUACAUCGCACUGCACGUAGGAGACUGGUUGCCCAGAUUCUGAUCGGAUUUCCUUGGACACAGAGUGACCCAAAUCGGAUUGGACAUCUGCAAUCACAACCUUGGCUCCUUGUCGAGCAAAGAGUCUUGCAGUGCUCUCGCCAAUCCCACUGGCUCCUCCUGUUAUCAAGGCUACCUUGCCUUCUAACCUUUUGGCGAAAUUAGUAGGUAGAGAGGAAGAGCCAGCCAUGAUCUCUUUUUUGCUUAUUAG